rnacentral:rRNA from 1 species
GCCGCGUGUGUGAANAACGGCCUUAUGGUUGUAAAGCACUUUAAGCGAGGAGGAGGCUACUUUAGUUAAUACCUAGAGAUAGUGGACGUUACUCGCAGAAUAAGCACCGGCUAACUCUGUGCCAGCAGCCGCGGUAAUACAGAGGGUGCGAGCGUUAAUCGGAUUUACUGGGCGUAAAGCGUGCGUAGGCGGCUUAUUAAGUCGGAUGUGAAAUCCCCGAGCUUAACUUGGGAAUUGCAUUCGAUACUGGUGAGCUAGAGUAUGGGAGAGGAUGGUAGAAUUCCAGGUGUAGCGGUGAAAUGCGUANAGAUCUGGAGGAAUACCGAUGGCGAAGGCAGCCAUCUGGCCUAAUACUGACGCUGAGGUACGAAAGCAUGGGGAGCAAACAGGAUUAGAUACCCUGGUAGUCCAUGCCGUAAACGAUGUCUACUAGCCGUUGGGGCCUUUGAGGCUUUANUGGCGCAGCUAACGCGAUAAGUAGACCGCCUGGGGAGUACGGUCGCAAGACUAACACUCAAAUGAAUUGACNGGGGCCCGCACAAGCGGUGGAGCAUGUGGUUUAAUUCGAUGCAACGCGAAAGAACCUUACCUGGCCUUGACAUACUAGAAACUUUCCAGAGAUGGAUUGGUGCCNUCGNGAAUCUAGAUACAGGUGCUGCAUGGCUGUCGUCAGCUCNUGUCNNUGAGAUGUUGGGUUUAANUCCCGCNACGAGCGCCACCCUUUUCCCUUACUUGCCANCAUUUCGGAAUGGGAAAC